GGAUGUGAGGUUGAUCUGGCUUGUAACAUGGGUCACCACCUUGAUUGCCAGGGUUGACUUGGCUGAUCUGAUAGGUACCCUUCCUUCUACACAGCUCCAUAUGUAUCCCUCCUGAAGUUGCCCACUCUGUGGAAGAACAACCUUCCCUGAAUAGAAGACUGUCAAAGGUAUACAAGUAGCAGUGGUCCCAGCAAGAACCUCCAAGCAAAUUCUCAAGAUUUUCAACCCUUUUAAAGCCCAAGGUCUUGCAGGGUGUGGUGGUGCUCACCUUCAGUCCCAGCACUCAGGGGGAGUGAUGGUGCU
rnacentral:snRNA from 1 species